AUAUAUGCUUCUGAGAAUAUUAUGCAACCAUGAAGCUUUGCACUUCAACAUAAAUGAAUCCCAAAAAGAGCCAGAUGAACUGUUGGCUGGGAGGCAGAGCCUUAGGAUGUUUCAAAUUCAUUGUGACUUCACAUAAAGGUACUCUCUGGAGUAUGAAAGUCAAUUUUACAGGUGUAAAAUAAAGGAAAAGAAGACAGUCUGAAAGUCAAAUGAAAUUCCAGGACCACCUGUAUUUCAGUGAGCCAGGGUCGAUGGAGGGGACACUGCUUUGGAACUGGACUCCCCAGAGUCAAUGAGGACAAUAGGAUUCAGGCACAGCAGAACCCUGAGGCUGGCAUUAAACAUUAAAGAAAAAUUGUAAGUAGCUACCAAAGUGUAGCAAAGCUGCAAUGGCAAACACAUUUGUA
rnacentral:lncRNA from 1 species